GAUGAACGCUGGCGGCGUGCCUAAUACAUGCAAGUCGAGCGAACGGACGAGAAGCUUGCUUCUCUGAUGUUAGCGGCGGACGGGUGAGUAACACGUGGAUAACCUACCCAUAAGACUGGGAUAACUUCGGGAAACCGGAGCUAAUACCGGAUGAUAUUUUGAACCGCAUGGUUCAAAAGUGAAAGACGGUCUUGCUGUCACUUAUAGAUGGAUCCGCGCUGCAUUAGCUAGUUGGUAAGGUAACGGCUUACCAAGGCAACGAUGCAUAGCCGACCUGAGAGGGUGAUCGGCCACACUGGAACUGAGACACGGUCCAGACUCCUACGGGAGGCAGCAGUAGGGAAUCUUCCGCAAUGGGCGAAAGCCUGACGGAGCAACGCCGCGUGAGUGAUGAAGGUCUUCGGAUCGUAAAACUCUGUUAUUAGGGAAGAACAUAUGUGUAAGUAACUGUGCACAUCUUGACGGUACCUAAUCAGAAAGCCACGGCUAACUACGU
rnacentral:rRNA from 1 species